UAUACUGAAAAACAUAUUUACCCAUAUGAAAAUGUAAAGUGAUCCGGUUUGUUACACUUUUCUAGUUAUGUACAAUGUUUCCCAGGAAAGUCCCAUACUUUCCUGAAUGUUGGUUACCAAUGUGAAAGAUGUAUACUGAAACCUGGUUAUCCUGUGAAAUGUAUUAAGUUAUUCAUUAUUACUAUUAAGUAAAUCUCUGUUAUCCUAAUUGCGAGUUCCAUAACCAUACAAUAGACUAGAUAUGGCAAUAAGUAGUCCACAUCACCUUAUGAGUUUUGUCACCCUUGAACCAUUUCGGUUCGGCUGUAGCUAGCAGCCGGGUGGUGAAGUCAGCCCUGUAUAGAUCUAUACCCUCAAGUCACCCUCCCUAUCCAAGAGAUUCUGGUUACGUGUGCAGUCCUCCACUCGUGUAUCUCUGUGGAGUGUUCACCGAGGACGUGUCUCCAAUCAUAUAGGACUAACUAAUUUACUAGUAAUAAUAUGAUAAUCCUCCACUCGCAUAUCUCUGUGGAGUGUUACGGAGGACAAAACAAUGUACAAGCUCUAUGUUCAAAGGUUCUAAUGUCAUGCUUUUAACUGAUAAAAUGUGGAAAACCAUUUGUGAAAUAUAUAAAACAUAACAGUUUAAAAUCCAUUUCACAAAUAUAUGUUUACGUGAUCUGCAUGUUAAAACGGUUAUCAGUUGUAACAAUCAGUGUUAAAAGCAUAUAAAAUGUGAAAUACACACAUGAAAACAAGUUUUGAGUACAAGUAAUCCCUUGUACUUUGCUUGUGUCCCCCCCUGAGAACAGUGAAAAACAGUGAAAAAGGGUAGGGGUAUGAACUCACCGCUUAAUGUAGAGAUCGAGUGUCAACGGAUGCCCUGAACUCCUAUGGCCCCUAUUUUUCAUGUGACGACACAUAAAUGAGUUAGAACUAAGGUGUUUCAUGACUAAUCAUGAUGGGAAAACAUUCUUAGGGCUUGGAAUUACUAAGAAAUAGUGUCCUAUGAUCCAAACUUAAUGAUUUAUGCAAGUUUAGGGCCAAAUAUGGGUAUUAGAGUGGGUGUAUGGUCGUGAAAAUAAAUGUGCGGCCGGGGAGUGUGGCCAGGAGUGUGUGUGAGGUAGCACACAAGAGUGUGCGGCCGUAUAGAGGGUGUGUGCGGCCGUACACAAGAGUAUGCGGCCGUACACUCCUCAUUUGAGUCCAUAUGUUGAAUUUUGAAGUGAAUGCUCUUCAUACUUGGGAGUUUUGAAUGUGUGCUGCCCCCAUAUGAAGGUGUGCGGCCGUACACUGUCACACCCCCAAACCUGAACGGCGGAAACGUUCGGGGGCGGAUGACUUCAUGUGGUAACGUAACAAAUGAAUACAUAGUAAAGAAAGCAAUACAACCAUCAUAUAUAUAAUUGAAAGUUUACAUUUGUCAAAAGUUACAUGUUCAAAACUUAAUUACAAUAUGAUGUCAAAAUACGAGAUUAAACUGGCGCCGCAGCAUCCCUUCAUCAAAAGCGAAAUGAAUACCUGAAAUUACUGAUUUCCUGGGACAUACAAGUAAUUUUGAAAGAGUAGAUCAGCAUUUAAGCUGGUGAAUUUCAUAAGUAUUUAAGUGACAAUGUUUGAAUGAAAUGAAAUGUUUUAUCUUUGUUUGUUUGUGUUUAGAAAAUCCUAUAUUUUCUACUAGUAUAAAAGUAGCCUUCACUCAAGACCAAUGUUUGUUUCCAAAAUGUAUGUAAAUGUAAAAUAACCAAUGAGUUUGAAACCCUUGUAAAUCAAUGCAUUUUUAAUACCCCUUGUGAGUUUUAUAACCAUACUAUUGACUCUGAAUUCCUAUACACAACAUUCUUCAGGCGUUGGAAUGUUAUGACGUUUGUCACCCCAAACGGUGGACUGCAGCUAACAGUCAGGGCGCGGGUUGUCAAGCCCGUAUAGAUCUAUACACAAACACCAUGCUCCCCCUCCAAGGGAUUCUGGUAUAUAAUACAGGACUUGAAAUGUGUACUCGAACGUACAUGAAGUUAGUGUCUCACAAAUCCGUGGUAUAAAAACAGAUCUACUUGUUAAAAUGUUACGUUUGUUCUUGUAUACGAAAGUAAACUUCUUGAAAUAUGUGUUUCUAGUACAUAAGAGUUAGAAAUCUGUUCGUAAAACUAUACCUAUUAUAGUUUCCAAAAAGCGUGUCUUGUUUGUUUAGAAAUAUUGAGAAAAGGAAUCACUUGUUUAUGAAAGUAUAGAUUUUUGGUGUAGAGUCUAGGAUAGACAAGAAAAAUCUAAGAACAGUUUAGUUUAUACAUGCAUUACAACAACAUUAUAUUUUAAAAGGUAAAAUGCUAUUGUGACAUAUGUUAUAUAUAUAUAAAAGUUCCUUUAAAUGUUUAUAAAUCGCAUGUGAUUUGAAUAUAUAACAGUAUAUAAAAGAGUUUCUUUAUGUAACACACGAUAAUACUCGUGUGUUUUACUUGUAAUCCCCCCCUUGAAAGCAUAUAAAAGUAUUUAGAAUAAUUAAAAAGGUUGAUUAAGGGGUAUGAAACUCACUUGAAAGUUUUGGAGAUAGCGAGAUGGAAAACCGGGCAGAGUUUCGUCUCGGGAAACGGAUUUUCCUCGGGAUUCUCGGGAAUCUCGGGAGUAAAAUCGACCUUCGGGACUUGAGCCAAAAAGACCAGAGCUUCGGGUUUGAACGGACACGGAAAACGAGGCAAAGUUGAGAGAGAGAGAAGAGAAAUGAACCCUUUCUUUGGAAACCCUCGCAUCCUAUUUAUAGUAAGGCUGGUCUGCCUCGGUACGCGGGGCGUACGCUCGUACGCAGCGCGUACGCGUACGUCAUGCAUGACCGAAGCCUCGACUGCCUCGGUUCGGAUGGGACAGGUUGCUGGGUACGCGGGUCGGAUGGGACGCCGGGUCGGAUGGGACGUCGGGUCGGACGGGUCGGGGCUUCGGACGGGUCGGAUGGGUCGGUUUCUUCGGAUAGCGCGACGUGGACGAUCAGAGGCCAAUCCUCUCGGUUACGCGGGGCGUACAGGGGUACGCAGCGCGUACCUCGGAGGAGGAUGCUGACUCCCCUUCGGAUAAUAUCCGAAUUUUGAAUUAAAUAAAUAAUUAAUUUAUUUAAUAAACUUCAAAAAUUCAUAUCUUCUUCAUACGAACUCCGUUUUCGAUGGUCUUUAUAUCCUCGCGUAGGUGAGACUACGCUCUACAACUUUCGUUUAGACUCCGUCGGCAAAUUCCAAAAUUAUAUUUUUAUUAUUUAUUAAAAAUCCAUCGUGUUUAAGGAAUUUCUUUGAAAAUUCAUAACUUCUUUAUCUGAUGUCGGUUUUUGCCAGACUUUUUACCACUGGAAUACCAUUGUCGAGACCUUCGAUUCUCGUUUAGGUCAUUCUGGCCAAAAGUCGCUCGAUCUCCGAUUCGAGUUUUUAGCUGUCUGUUGCUAAGCCGAACUUGGAAAAAUCAUAACUUCGCUAUAUGAAGUCGGAUUUGGGCGUUCUUUUCACGUACGAUCAUGGUUCAAAGACAUUUAAUCAUAGAAGGAAAUUAAGUAGAACUUAUUUGUACAUUUUAUUAUGAAAGUAACUUUUUAUUAUUCGGAAGUGGUUACAAUACUUGACCCAUUUUGGUCGUUACAAAGAGUUGAAAUAUCAGGUUGUCACAUACACCUUCAUGGGAUGAUGAAUAUGAUGAACAUAAUGAGUUUUAAGAUUGGGAUCCAAGUGUUUACCACUAUACUUAUCUUGAAGAUGGAGUAGAUCACGUAUAUGAAGCCUUCCAAGUGUUUUGGUCGAUGAUUUAGAGAGAGAAAGUAGAGAGAGGGAACAGAAACAUCUAAAUGAAUGAAUGAAGGGGUAUCCAUCCAUAUAUUGAAUUGGGUGUGAGGUUGAGGGUGUUUGCAGUUGGGUGUGUGGGCAUACACACAUGUGUGUGACCGCAGACACAAGUGUGUGGCCGCACACACCUUAGUUGGUGAGUUUGGCCCGAUAUUGUGAUACUAAACACUCUCCAACCCUUCUUAAGACUCAUAUCUAGAUUAUACUAAGUCUAGAGCACCCAUAUGGAACCACAUGAUUUAAUAAAAGACAAUGAACUCAAGUUUUAGUGCUGAAACACAGAUCAAUUACAUUGGUUAGAAGUUUCGGGUUGUCACAUUAUCCACCUUUAGAGGGAAUUUCGUCCCGAAAUUCGAAAUUAAGAUACAAGUCAAGAUACAAAUAAUGGAUCUUGAAAGAGAUGCGGAUACUUCUGUUUCAUCGAGUCAUCACGCUCCCAAGUGAACUCCGGUCCCCGCUUGGCAUUCCAGUGGACCUUCACUAACGGGAUGCGGCUUUGCUUUGUGUGUUUGACUUCUCGAUCCAUGUUUUCGAUCGGUUCCUCCACGAAGUUGUGGUUUUCAUUGAUCUCGAUCUCGUCUAAAGGAAUCACUAGGGUUUCAUCAGAUAGGCUGUAACAGCGCGGAUUUCCAAGUAUCUUUUAUUCAUAUAUUUUUGGUGUUUUGUGAGGGGACUCGGCGAGUUGGAGCUCAAACUCGCUGAGUAGGAUCGCGGUUCUGGAUGCGGGUUCGCGCCUGGACUUGGCGAGUCCAUGAUGUUUAAUGAAACCCUAAUUUCCCAGUCCUAAGCCCUAUUUAAAGGACCUUAUGGCCCUUCAUUGCGGCUACCUUGACCUUGAGAGCACCUAAACAACUGAGAGUUCUUGUGAGUGAGAUAAGAGGCCAUUAUUCACGAAUUUUAUGUGUACUUGCAAGAAAGGAAGGGGAAAAUCAAGCUAGGAGAGUUGGGGAGCUUGGAUCUACUUCCAUUUCGUCAGAGGAAGCUUCUUGAGGUAUCUUUCAGAGCUUAUUCCCGUGUUUUUGUUGUUAUGGUCAAAUGUAGGUUUUCUUCAUGCCUUGUUUGCCUUGUAUUUGGAGUGUGAGAGGUCCCAUGGGGAUAUAGUACCUAGAUCUGGACCUUAAUAGGUCCAGAGAGUCCCAAAUGCCAUGCUUUAUGUCCUUCCUUUUGGGUUGGAGACUAGGGUUGCCAUCUUAGAGGUCAUUUCUUCAAAAGGAGCCUUGUAGGUGUUGCAUGGUAGUCAAGACUGUGACUUUACGUGCUGAAUGAGCUUGGGAGGAACAGAUCUAUGAAUUGAUGGAGCGUAUCUGGCCUCAGAAGCGAGAUUGAGUUGAUGUAUGGCAUGGACUCGCCGUGUCCGAAGAACAGACUCGGCGAGUAGCAUGAAGAUUGUCCUUAACCACUCAGCGAGUGGUCUUGCCGAGUUAAGGGUUGACUCAGUGAGUCAGGGAGAGUUAGAGAGGGUUGACAGGUGGACUGAGUCAAGCUGGAACUCGCCGAGUUGUUCUUGAGACUCGGCGAGUUGAGUCGUGGUGGCCCCGCGAUUCAUGCCAGGUGGAACUCGUCGAGUCAGGGAAGUACUCGACGUGUCAAGAGAGGAUCCUAGGGAGUCAGUGAACACGUAUAGACUCGCCGAGUCGCCCUAGUGCACUCGCCGAGUCCGGUCAAAGUUGACCGUUGACUGUUGACCAGAGUUGACCAGUGUUGACUUGAUAGGGGUAGUCAACCUUAGUGGUAAAAGUGUUAAUUAGAGAUAUAUGAUGUUAUAGGAGGAUUAUAGCUCGGAGGAUCGAGCACGAGUGAUUUCCAGGAUUCGCGAGUUAUCGAGAUAUACGAGGUGAGUCUUCUCACUAUACUUUACCUUGAGUAGGUAAUCAGAGUUAUGUGACAGAGUAUUUGUAUGCUAUAUGUAUGUUAUGUGUUGUACUGCAUCAUUUCUAUGUGAUUUAUGUUGUGCAUGUUUAUAGAGUUGGAACCGGAAGGUUCCCAGAGUUAGAACCAGUGGGUUCACAGAGUAGGGUCUACGGACCCACAGAGUUAUAGCCUCGAGUGGCUAAUAUGUGUUAUGUGUGGUAUAUUGGGGAACUCACUAAGCUUUGUGCUUACAGUGUUAGUGUUGUUUGUUUCAGGUACUAGUGAUGACCGUGGGAAGGCGCCGGGUUGAUCUGUACACAUGCAUGGGAUUUUCAUGUUAUGUGAUCUUGGGAUUUUGUAUGAUAUGGAUUUGAGUUUUAAACUCAAUGUUUUAUGAAAAUUAAAUGAAACUAUUUUUAUAUUAUGCGAAAAAUUAUUUUCAAAUUCACGGUGUUACAUAGGCACUUCUUGAGAUUUGAAACAUGGAAGACGGGAUGGAUGUUACUGAGCUCAUGGGGUAAACGAUGUUUAUAGGCAACCGGACCGAUCCUGGUGAGGAUCUCGAAGGGUCCAAUGUACCUAGGGUUAAGUUUCCCCCGCUUUCCAAAAUGUACUGUUCCUUUCUAGGGUGAUGCCUUCAAUAGGACACGGUCUCCAACCUGGAAUUCUAGAGGUUUCUGGCGGUUAUCAGCGUAACUCUUUUGGCGAUCUCGUGAAGCUUUCAAUCGUUCUCGGAUUUGGAUGAUCUUCUUAGUGGUUUCGCGGAUGAUUUCAGGACCAGUGAGAGCACUGUCAAGGACUCGACUCUUGGCUAGCUGUGUGUCCCCCAACUCGGCCCAGCACAGAGGGGAUUUGCACUUACGACUAUAUAGGGCUUCAAACGGGGCAACCCUGAUGCUGGUGUGGUAACUGUUGUUGUACGAGAACUCGAUCAAAGGUAGAUCUGUGUCCCACAACUUUCCAAAAUCGAUGACACAUGCCCUAAGCAUGUCCUCCAGGGUUUGGAUUGUUCUCUCACUUUGUCCAUCGGUCUGAGGAUGAUACGCCGUGCUCAUGUCUAGAUUGGUUCCAAGGGUUUGGAUGUAAAUUCUCACGAGUCUUUCCAUCUUGAAUGAUUCUUUGAUCGGAAUGAAGUGAGCGGAAUUUUUCAAACGAUCGACAAUUAACCAAAUGGUGUCCUACCCACUCGGACACUUGGGUAACUUGGUUAUGAAAUCCAUGGUAAUCAUCUCCCAUUUCCACUCGGGUAUCUCGGGCUGUUGGAGCAGGCCCGAGGGUUUCUGGUACUCGACUUUCACUUUGGCGCAAGUCAGACACUUGCCCACGAACGUAGCUAUCUCAGCUUUCAUGUUUGGCCACCAGUAUUGUUUCUUGAGAUCUAAGUACAUCUUAUCCGAACCUGGGUGAACCGAGUAUCUGGUCCUGUGUGCUUCCUACAUAACAAUCUCCCUGAAUCCUCCAGACUUUGGAAUCCAGAUUCGGUCCAUGAAACAGUAGACCCCUUCACCUCUGAUCUCAAGUUUCUUUUCCAUUCCUCUCAAGGCUUCGUUUGACACGUUCUCGGGUUUGAGGGAUUCUAAAUGGGUUCUUGGAUUUGCAUGGAUAAGUUGGAAUGUAUGGUCAUCGUCAGGGUCUUCACCUUUCGAUUUGAACUCUCCUUUUGGCUAAGGGCAUCUGCUACCACAUUAGCCUUGUCGAGAUGGUAACAGAUUUCACACUCAUAAUCACUGAGUAGUUCUACCCGUCGCCGUUGCGUCAUGUUCAAGUCUUUCUGAUCAAAGAUGUGAUGCAGACUCUUAUGGUCAGUGAAGAUCGUACAUUUGGUUCCGUAGAGAUAAUAUCUCCAAAUCUUCAAUGCAAAGACUACGACUCCUAAUUCCAAGUCAUGUGUGGUAUACUUGACUUCGUGUGCUUUCAGCUGUCUUGAGGCAUAUGCAAUCACCUUUCCCCUUUGCAUACGCACACAACCUAAGCCUUGAUUAGACGCAUCGCAAAAAACAACGAAGUCCUCUGUUCCUUCGGGCAAGGACAGGACCGGUUCACUGCACAAAGCUUUCUUCAAUGUUUGGAAUACAGUUUCUUGCUUUUCACUCCAACAAAAGGAUACACCUUUCUGAGUUAGAGUCGUUAAGGGUUUGGCGAUUCUGGAAAAGUUCUGGAUAAAUCUCCGAUAAUAGCCGGCGAGACCCAAGAAUUGCCGGAUUUCUGUGGGUGUCUUCAGUGCCGACCAAUUCUCUAUCACUUUAAUCUUGUAAGGAUCUACAUGAAUACCCUCCUCGCUUACCACGUGACCGAGGAAAGUUACCUUCUGAAUUCAGAACUCACACUUGGAAAAUUUCGCGUACAACUUCUCGGAUCUAAGGGUUUCCAACACUAGCCUCACGUGUUGUUUGUGAUCUUCUUCGCUUCUGGAGUAGACAAGUAUGUCAUCAAUGAAUACAAUGAUGAACUUAUCCAGAUAAGGACGACACACCCGCUUCAUCAGGUCCAUGAACACUGCCGGUACGUUGGUUAGACCGAAGGGCAUCACUACGAUUUCGUAGUGUCCAUACCGAGUUCUGAAAGCUGUUUUGGACACGUCACUCUCAUGAACUCAUAGCUGAUGGUACCCUGACCGAACCUCUAUCUUGGAGAAGUAAUUGGCUCCCUGGAGUUGAUCAAAGAGGUCAUCUAUUCGCGGAAGAGGAUAUCGGUUUUUGACGGUCAACUUGUUCAGCACACGGUAGUCGAUACACAUCCGAAAGGAUCCAUCUUUUUUCUUAACGAACAAUACCAGAGCUCCCUAGGGCGAGGAACUCGGUCUAAUGAAUCCUUUACUGAGCAACUCAUUGAGUUGGCUGGAUAACUCCUGCAUUUCUGCUGAGCUAAGCGANUGCAUUUCUGCUGGAGCUAAGCGAUAUGGAGAUUUCGCUACGGGGGUGGCUCCAGGAAUUAGGUCAAUGCGGAACUCAACCUGACGCUCAGGAGGAAUUCCUGGAAGCUCUUCGGGAAAUACAUCAGGAAAGUUACAGACUUCGGGGAUGCUCGCGAGGUCUUCAACUUCCUAUUUCUCAUUGAUUACAUGGGCUAAGAAUGCAAUGCAAUCCUUUCGUAGAAGCUUUUGAGCUUUGAUGCAGGAAAUUAUACGAAGAUUGGGACUGAGUUUAUCGCCAUAUAUUACGAGAGUUUGAUCGGAAGGAAGGUUGAGAUGGAUGGCUUUUUCGAAACAGAGGAUAUCAACAUAAUUGGGACUCAACCAAUCCAUGUCAAUGAUGACAUCAAAGCUCUUUAUUGAAACUGGCAUCAGAUCAAUGGGAAAUGAAUGGUCAUUUAGGGUAAGAGUACAACCUAUGAACACCUCGCUGGCGCUUUCUUUCUCACCGUUAGCCAUCUCGACGGUAAACAUUUCAGUUAAAGGUUGGGGAUUAUGUUUUAGGUUAUGUUUGAACGAAUGACUAACAAAGCUUCUUUCAGCACCCGAACCAAAAAGAAUACUAGCAUAUGAGUUGUCGAGAAGGAACGUACCCGAAACAACGGUGGGAUCGGCGACUGCCUCCUCCCGUCCCAUGGCUAGGACUCUUCCAGUAUUAUCAGUUGUUGACUUCUUGGGGCAGUUCCUUUAAAAGUGCCCAACCUCUCCAUAGUUAUAACAGGCUUGACCAACGCCUGCUCCAGAAGAUUGAUUUACAGAUUGGGCUGGUGCCUUGCAGAAUCGGACUGUGUGCCCCUUCUUACCACAACUGGUACAUGACAUCUCACGACAGGGGCCGGGGUUGUAGUGGUAUUUGCACUUGUCAUACAGAGGGAGAUUACCAGCAUAUCUGCUAGGAGGAGUUGGAGCUGUGGAUCCCACAACAGAAGCAGCAGCAACGGGAGUAGUAGCAGCAUGGAAUGCUACAGUCUGCUGUCUCUUGGAGGAUCCUUGGGAAGAUUGAUCCUUCUUCUUCUUCCAGAACUUUCUUUUCUGACAACUCCUCUUGGUUGGUUCAGGAGCGGUGGUAGUUUCCUCGACGUCAUCACUAUGAUCAAUUAGGGUUUGGGCUAAACUCUUGGCACUAUCAUAGGUAUUCGGACGUGCAGCUAAGAUGUUUACCUUAGUUGGCUGGGUCAGCCCCUAGAUGAACUUUUCUAUCUUUUUACUUUCAGGAGUGACCAAUCCCCAGCAGAGAAGUGCGAGUUCAUCAAAUCGAGAAGUGUAUGCAGCAAUAUCGGAACCCUUCAUCUUCAGGUUCCAGAGCUCAUGCUCUAGUUUCUGCAUUUCACCACGGGGACAGUAUGCGGCUAUUAGGAGUUCUUUCAUAGCUUCCCAGCACAUGGCGUUGGCUACGGGUAGGGUCAGAGAUUUGACUCGGCCAUUCCACCAAGUAAAGGCUUUAUCAAUGAAGGUACAGGCUGCGAACUUGACCUUAUCAGAUUCUGCACAGGCACAAAUUUCACAGACGGACUCGAUUUUCUGGAACCAUCGGGAUAAGGAAAUGACACCUCCAGUGCCAUCGAAGGAUGUUGGUUUCGCAUUCAUGAAUUCCUUAUAGGAAUCCUCCUUUUCGGUGUCCCUGAUUGCUUUCUUGAUCCUGAGUUUGAGUACCGCCUCCCGAACCACCGGAACCACCGGUGUUUAAUUGAGACAUAGCAGCUGCCACCGCUGCGGUAACAGCUGCCUGAAAUACCAUGGGGUCAAAUUCAGGAGGAAGUGGUGGGCGAGGGUUGUUGGUCUUUGAGUUGGGUCUCUUUCUUGGAGGCAUCUUGAUCUAAUAAGAUCAAGAAAGAGAGGAUGAUAAGUCCUCUGAAUCGAAUCGAGAGAUAUGACAGAUAUACAUUCCGAAUAAGCGAUAAAACAGGAAAGAUUUAUCAAAGCAGGUAAACUAUCGCUAAUGGAAUGAUCAAGGAUCUAUACGUGAAUGAGGAUUUCUACAAAGGUUUGGCUUGAUAAAUACUCCCAUAUUAUUUCAUGAUUCGCUACGACACUAGCUCAAUGUUUAUGGCAUUAGGGUAAGUUUUAGGCAUGCCGCAUACCACAGUCACUCCCAAGCACAUGUUGGCCGUGUCUCGAAUGGAUAUAGUUGGCUAGGCUAUAUUGAUCCUAGACAUGACUACAUAACUGCCCAGGUUUAACCGUAGUACACAACACCCAUUUACUUAUAUUUUGUUCUAGUUGUACUUACGGAUCUCGACGGUUCGGUAUACUUGUAUACGUUUGAAAAUACAUAUAGUUUAAAGAUACUUUUAAUUCAAAGCACUUAGGCCUUUAGUGUUUAUAGUUUUAUACCAUGUAAGGUUUGGUAUACUUUAUUCAGUAUAAACAAGGGCUCUGAUACCAAUCUGUCACACCCCGAAAACCGAAGGCGGAAACAUUUUCGGGGUUGACUCCACGUUGAGUAUCAAAUCCGAUGCACAUAGUAAGUAAAGUAAACAACCAUUACAUUACAUAUAUUAAAAGUUUACAUUUGUUUGAAAGUGAAGUUGUACAGGUGUGAUACAUAGUAUAUAUGAGCAAAAGUAAGACGAGUCUUCAACGCACUCCGUCUUUGCAAAAAGGAAUCAUCGGGUACCUGUCUAACGCUGACCUGAGAACACAAGCGGUUUGAAAAUCAGCAUAACGCUGGUGAGUUCAUAAGUGGUUUUUGUUUUGUUAAAAUGUUCAAGUUUCCUUUCUGAUUCUGAAAAUGUUACACACACCAAGAAAAUCCCAUAUUUUCUUAAAAGGUUGGUUAAUGGUUCUCAAGAUGUAAAGUAAAGUUGUACACUGAAAACACGUUUACUCUUGUGAAAUGUACAGUUAGGUUAUCUGGUUUGUUAUACUAUUCUGGUUAUGUACAAAUGUAUUCUCAGGAAAGUCCGAUACUUUCCUGAAUUGUUGGUUACCAAUUGUGAAAGAUGUAUACUGAAAAACAUAUUAACCCAUAUGAAAAUGUAAAGUUAUCCGGUUUGUCACACUUUUAUAGUUAUGUACAAUGUUUCCCAGGAAAGUCCCAUACUUUCCUGAAUGUUCGUUACCAAUGUGAAAGAUGUAUACUAAAACCUGCUUAUCUUGUGAAAUGUAUUACGUUAUUCAUUAUUUGUCACAACUGUAAAUUUUAAGCUAUGUAAUCUACACGUUCAAGUNAUUUCCAUUACCAUACAAUAGACUAGAUAUGGCAAUAAGUAGUCCACAUCACCUUGUGACUUUCGUCACCCUUGUACCAUUUCGGUUCGGCUGUAGCUAGCAGCCAGGUGUGGGGUAGUCAGUCCCGUAUAGAUAUGUACACUCAAGUCACGCUCCCUAUCCAAGAGAUUCUGGUUACGGGUGCAGUCCUCCACUCGCGUAUCUCUGUGGAGUGUUCACCGAGGACGUGUCUCCAAUCAUAUAGGACUAACAAAUUUACUAGUAAUAAUAUUAUAAUCCUCCACUCGCGUAUCUCUGUGGAGUGUUACCGAGGACAAAACAGUGUACAAGUUUUAUUCUCAAAGGUUCUAAUGUCAUGCUUUUAACUGAUAAAAUGUGGAAAACCAUUUGUGAAAUAUAUAAAACAUAACAGUUUAAAAUCCAUUUCACAAAUAUAUGUUUACGUGAUCUGCAUGUUCAAACGGUUAUCAGUUGUAACAAUCAGUGUUAAAAUCAUAUAAAAUGUGAAAUACACACAUGAAAACAAGUUUUGAGUACAAGUAAUCCCUUGUACUUUUCUUGUGUUCCCCCCUGAAAAGAGUGAAAAAUAGUGAAAAAGGGUAAGGGUAUGAACUCACCGCUUAAUGUGGAGUUCGAGUGUCAACGGAUGCCUUGAACUCCUAUGGCCCCUAUUUUUCAUGUGACGACACAUAAAUGAGUUAAAACUAAGGUGUUUCGUGACUAAUCAUGAUGGGAAAACAUUCUUAGGGCUUGGA
rnacentral:lncRNA from 1 species